rnacentral:rRNA from 1 species
GAGGAAUAUUGGUCAAUGGACGAGAGUCUGAACCAGCCAAGUAGCGUGAAGGAUGAAGGUUCUAUGGAUUGUAAACUUCUUUUAUACGGGAAUAAACGAAUCCACGCGUGGAUUUUUGCAUGUACCGUAUGAAUAAGGAUCGGCUAACUCCGUGCCAGCAGCCGCGGUAAUACGGAGGAUCCGAGCGUUAUCCGGAUUUAUUGGGUUUAAAGGGAGCGUAGAUGGGUUGUUAAGUCAGUUGUGAAAGUUUGCGGCUCAACCGUAAAAUUGCAAUUGAUACUGGCAGUCUUGAGUACAGUUGAGGUAGGCGGAAUUCGUGGUGUAGCGGUGAAAUGCUUAGAUAUCACGAAGAACUCCGAUUGCGAAGGCAGCUUACUAACCUGUAACUGACAUUGAUGCUCGAAAGUGUGGGUAUCAAACAGGAUUAGAUACCCUGGUAGUCCACACGGUAAACGAUGAAUACUCGCUGUAGGCGAUAUACAGUCUGCGGCCAAGCGAAAGCAUUAAGUAUUCCACCUGGGGAGUACGCCGGCAACGGUGAAACUCAAAGGAAUUGACGGGGGCCCGCACAAGCGGAGGAACAUGUGGUUUAAUUCGAUGAUACGCGAGGAAUCUUACCCGGGCUUAAAUUGCAACCGAAUAUGGCGGAAACGCUAUAGCUAGCAAUAGCGGUUGUGAAGGUGCUGCAUGGUUGUCGUCAGCUCGUGCCGUGAGGUGUCGGCUUAAGUGCCAUAACGAGCGCAACCCUUGCCGAUAGUUACUAACAGGUUAUGCUGAGGACUCUGUCGGGACUGCCAUCGUAAGAUGUGAGGAAGGUGGGGAUGACGUCAAAUCAGCACGGCCCUUACGUCCGGGGCUACACACGUGUUACAAUGGGGGGUACAGAGGGCUGCUACCACGCAAGUGGAUGCCAAUCCCAAAAACCUCUCUCAGUUCGGAUUGAAGUCUGCAACCCGACUUCAUGAAGCUGGAUUCGCUAGUAAUCGCGCAUCAGCCACGGCGCGGUGAAUACGUUCCCG